rnacentral:lncRNA from 1 species
UCCUCUUUGCAAUUAACCUUAACGAGCAAUAGUUGGCCGAACAUGACAUAACACACAGUCGCACAUGCAGCAAUGAAAGAUGCCAUCUUAAGCCCAUUAUCGAAGAGCUCUCUGUCUCAUUGGCCCGUGGCCUUAGCUCCUACUUUCUUUUAUUAUUAGGAUCUGCCUAAGUUACGGCUGUUGUAAGUUACCACACCUUUUGUCUUUUCUGCUUUAGUUAUUGUAAAAUUUGGUUGAGUUCCUUGCAUUCUGUUUUAUUUUAUUAAAACCCUUAGAAUAUUAAAUUCGCCCCCUAUAAUAUUUAAAUUCCCAAU